UACGUAGGUCCCGAGCGUUGUCCGGAUUUAUUGGGCGUAAAGGGAGCGCAGGCGGCACGGCAAGCCUGAUGUGAAAGCCCGCGGCCCAACCGCGGGACUGCAUUGGGAACUACCGGGCUGGAGUGCCGGAGAGGUAGGCGGAAUUCCUAGUGUAGCGGUGAAAUGCGUAGAUAUUAGGAGGAACACCAGUGGCGAAGGCGGCCUACUGGACGGUGACUGACGCUGAGGCUCGAAAGCGUGGGGGGCAAACAGG
rnacentral:rRNA from 1 species